GGAUAUAGCUCAGUGGUCAGAGUACUGAACUCAUAAUUUAAAGGCCCGGGUUCGAAUCAUGUAUUUUUAACU
rnacentral:tRNA from 1 species